UAUUAGGUUGGUACGAAAGUAUUUGCGGUUUUGGCCAUUGAAAGCAAUGGCCAAAACCGCAAUUACUUUCGUACCAACCUAAUA
rfam:Papio anubis isolate 1X1155 chromosome 13, whole genome shotgun sequence.